rnacentral:rRNA from 1 species
UACAGAGGUCCCAAGCGUUGUUCGGAUUCACUGGGCGUAAAGGGUGCGUAGGCGGCACUGUUAGUCAGGCGUGAAAAGUCCUGGGCUCAACCUGGGAACUGCGCUUGAUACGGCAGAGCUAGAGGAUGGAAGAGGCUCGCGGAAUUCCCAGUGUAGAGGUGAAAUUCGUAGAUAUUGGGAAGAACACCGGUGGCGAAGGCGGCGAGCUGGUCCAUUACUGACGCUGAGGCGCGACAGCGUGGGAAGCAAACAGG